UACGUAGGGGGCUAGCGUUGUCCGGAUUUAUUGGGCGUAAAGAGCGUGUAGGCGGCCAGGUAGGUCCGGUGUGAAAACUCGAGGCUUAACCUCGAGAUGUCAUCGGAAACCAUCUGGCUAGAGUCCGGAAGAGGAGAGUGGAAUUCCUGGUGUAGCGGUGAAAUGCGCAGAUAUCAGGAGGAACACCGGUGGCGAAGGCGGGUCUCUGGGCCGAUACUGACGCUGAGGAGCGAAAGCGUGGGGAGCGAACAGG
rnacentral:rRNA from 1 species